GACGAACGCUGGCGGCGUGCCUAACACAUGCAAGUGGAGCGACGAACCAGGCUUCGGCCUGGGGCAAAGCCGCGAACGGGUGAGUAACACGUGGGUAACCUGCCCUGAUGAUUGGGACAACCCGAGGAAACUCGGGCUAAUACCAAAUGUGCCCUUCGGCCAUAAGGCCGCCGGGGAAAGGAAGCUUCGGCCUCCGCAUCUGGAUGGGCCCGCGGCCCAUUAGCUUGUUGGUGAGGUAACGGCUCACCAAGGCGACGAUGGGUAGCUGGUCUGAGAGGACGAUCAGCCACACUGGGACUGAGACACGGCCCAGACUCCUACGGGAGGCAGCAGUGGGGAAUCUUGCGCAAUGCGCGAAAGCGUGACGCAGCAACGCCGCGUGGGGGAAGAAGGCCU
rnacentral:rRNA from 1 species